rnacentral:lncRNA from 1 species
GAUAAGCUGGGCUCGGGCCUGUGAACCCCAGGCCGCUGAAGGAGAACACGCGAACUUAGCUGCCCACCAGGCCAGCCCCUCUACCCGGGCCUUUUUAUAUUCGCUAUGGCCAGUCACAAGGGCAUCGGUCUCCGAGAAUCUCUGAAGUGUCCUCACAGAAGAGAACAAUGGCUCUGAAGUGCUACCACAGGAGAUCCCGAGUGGGACAAAAGCUGAUACUUGGAAGCUGGAGGUGGAUCAUAACAGAACUUCUUCAGGGGAGCGCUCUGUCUCUGCCCUUCAGUGACGAAGCGUGUUCUUCAGGAAUUUGCCAGAUUGUGGGCGAGUUUGCCUGGUGUCAGAGGCAGGCCUGCAGCCUCCAUGACAACCAGCUGUGGAGGGAAGUCACAGGCUGGGGAAGGGCCAACCAGAUGCGACUCCCAGAAAACCCAGGCCAAAUAUGACAUCUGUUUGUGGUCUCAGUGGCUGGCUCUGAUGUUCCAGACUCAUGAGGAUGAAAGUUACAGGGAGAACUUUCAUCACUGCGAUCCUCAGGCAGCGGGAUUUUUCACAUCUUUUCCUCAUCGUCAUGGACACUGACUGGAGUUGAUUUCAUCUGAACCUUUUCAUCCUGAGGCUAGAGCUGAUUCUGCUGGUAAUCCAGCUAUGCCAUUCGCUUGUUAAAAAUGCU